CUGGAGGCAGCAGUGGGGAAUAUUGGUCAAUGGGCGCAAGCCUGAACCAGCCAUGCCGCGUGCAGGAUGACGGUCCUAUGGAUUGUAAACUGCUUUUGCACAGGAAGAAACACUACCUCGUGAGGUAGCUUGACGGUACUGUGAGAAUAAGGAUCGGCUAACUCCGUGCCAGCAGCCGCGGUAAUACGGAGGAUCCAAGCGUUAUCCGGAAUCAUUGGGUUUAAAGGGUCCGUAGGCGGUCUAAUAAGUCAGUGGUGAAAGCCCUACGCUCAACGUAGGAACGGCCAUUGAUACUGUUAGACUUGAAUUACUUGGAAGUAACUAGAAUAUGUAGUGUAGCGGUGAAAUGCUUAGAGAUUACAUGGAAUACCAAUUGCGAAGGCAGGUUACUACAAGUGGAUUGACGCUGAUGGACGAAAGCGUGGGUAGCGAACAGGAUUAGAUACCCCCGUAGUCC
rnacentral:rRNA from 1 species